rnacentral:lncRNA from 1 species
AGGGGCUUGGAGAAUUACGUGGAGGGAUGAGUUUGCACUUCAUUCUCUGGGAGAUUGGCAGCCGUUAGAAGUUUUUGAGCCAUCAGACGACAAGAUCAGAACUCCGCGAUGUUAAUGUGUCCGGCCUAGAUUGUCCUCUGGGGGAAGCCUAACCUCACACCCUACCUGGUGAGACGUCUUCAUCGUUGGUCCCAAUGUCCUGUCCCCAGGGUUUCCCGGAAGCCUCCCCUUCACUUACAGCACACCUCUCUGCUAUGUGCCCCAGCCCCUGUGCAAGCUGUGUGAACUGUAACGCCUUCACGCAUUUAUUUAUCUCUGCGUAUCCUCCCCACCUGACAUCUUGUGUGGAGAGAGACAGACUCCGUAUCAGUGAAGCAACUUACGCAUUCAAUUCUUAGCCCUCAUGCCAGCAGCAGGACCUGGCGUUUCGUGCUCAGCAAUCUUCAGUGGACAGGUGGAUGAUUAGAUGAAAGAAUAAUCUCGGCAUGGUUGUGUGGUUUCCUAGGUGCCUGAAGAGAGACACGCCUUGGUUUAUGUCUGCUCAUGGGGAGCUUUCACAGCGUUAUGCUUCAAGACAACUGAUAGUUCACUAGAUAAUGAUAAUCAAAGCAAGUAAUUAUACCUCACUUACGGUGUGCCAGGUGCUGUUUUAAAUACCUUAUACAUCAUAACUCAUUAAUCCUUAAAACAGCCCCAUGUGAAAGAUACUUUUAUCAUACCUAUAUUACAAAUGAGGUGAUUGAGGCACAGAGGGGUCAGGUUCCUGGUCCAGGCUGACAGAACCAAGAGGGAUGGGCUGGCAUUUGAGCCCAGACAGACUGGCCCUCGGAAACCUUUUCUCUGCGCUGCGCCGCACUGCCGGCUCUUUGAUCUGACUCGUGAUGUCUCAGGAACUUCCUCCCAGAGGCAUUUACUUCACGCCGAUGUACUUGGGCUGCUUAUGUCCAAAGUGUUUGGAAGUUAACAUCUUUCUUUUAUUCAAUGCAUAUUUAUUGAACCCUAGCUAUAUGCCAGACACUGUUUGAGGCUCUCCAAUGUAUGUUAGUGAACAAGAGACAAAUUCCCUGAUUCCGUGGGUUUGCCUUCUCGUUUGGGGAAAAGAACAACAAGGAAAAACAACGACCAAAGCAAAUGUAGAUCUACAUUAGGUCAGAUGAUGAUACGUGUGAUGGAGAAAAACCAAGAAAGAAAGGAGAGAGGGAGUGACAGUGGAGGCCGUUGGGAAGGCCCGUGCUGAGAAGGUGACAGUAUGUAGACGGGAAAGCAGUGGGGUCCUCAGAACCUGCGGGAAGGGUUAGUCAGGCAUAAGUGAGAGCAGGUGGGAGAGUUCUCGGGUGGGGUGAGGAGGGCUCAGGUACAGCAAGGACGCUGACAUGGCAGGAGCAAAGUGAGAGCAUCACUGAUAAUAUGGCGGAAAAGUUAUACAGGUUUUAUAGUCAGACAAACCAGUGCUGCCGUCUGAGCUCAGCUGCUAGUUGUGUCAUCUUGACAAGUUAUGUGUAUCUUCAAGCGUUGGUUUUCUCAUCUGCAAAAUGAUGCUACCAAUUUGCUAGCAGGAACAAAGAAUAAAGUACAGCAAGCCUGGCACAGAAAUGGGAGACGCAGCCCUGCUCUGUCCUGUCUUUGCAGGUGUCCCCUGUCCCCAGAGAGUCCUCACAGAGAGCCUCCAUUUUCGCCGUCCAUGGAAAUAGGUCACGCCCCAGGAGGCAGGACUCCUCAGGCCCCAUGGUCUCCUGAGGCCCUCUGAGCACCAUGCCCCAGACACCAACCGGGCAUCUCAUUUACCUUCUCAUUGCUUUCAACAGGCCACAGAGAAAACUGGGGCUAGGCAAUGCUUUCGGCAAGAUUAUGCCACUGGCUGCCAAGUGAAGAAUGACUUGAGCUGUUACAAACAAACAAAACAAAACAGUUUCCAAGAUGUAGGCCUUUUGUUUGUGUGAACAGGGACAUGAGCAAACACCGGCAUGUUUCCAUUUGAAAUAGCUUCUGGAGUAAUUGCUAGCACUGCAUUCUCUAAUUACAUAAUGUCUGUCUUCUUUGGCAGUGACCUUGGUAUUGUCUUUGGUGUGAAAAACAUGAAGUCUGGGAUUCAACACACUUAGCCUAGUUAGCUAUGUUGUUACCUACUUCUUGGAGCCAUCCAACUCAAUUUCU